CCUACGGGAGGCAGCAGUAGGGAAUCUUCCACAAUGGGCGAAAGCCUGAUGGAGCAACGCCGCGUGGGUGAAGAAGGUCUUCGGAUCGUAAAACCCUGUUGUUAGAGAAGAAAGUGCGUGAGAGUAACUGUUCACGUUUCGACGGUAUCUAACCAGAAAGCCACGGCUAACUACGUGCCAGCAGCCGCGGUAAUACGUAGGUGGCAAGCGUUAUCCGGAUUUAUUGGGCGUAAAGGGAACGCAGGCGGUCUUUUAAGUCUGAUGUGAAAGCCUUCGGCUUAACCGGAGUAGUGCAUGGGAAACUGGGAGACGUGAGUGCAGAAGAGGAGAGUGGAACUCCAUGUGGAGCGGUGAAAUGCGUAGAUAUAUGGCAGAACACCAGUGGCGAAAGCGGCUCUCUGGUCUGUAACUGACGCUGAGGUUCGAAAGCGUGGGUAGCAAACAGGAUUAGAUACCCCGGUAGUC
rnacentral:rRNA from 1 species